ACUAUUUUGGCAGAAAUAAUGUAAUGAUUUUAGAAUUCAUAUAUGUAUAAUUAUAAGUUAUAUAGAUAGUA
rnacentral:tRNA from 1 species